CCCUCAAAACCUCUACCAGGUGGUCUGCCACCAACCCUUCCUCGAGCAUAAGGGGGUGAAGAAUCUCGAAAUCUACCAGGAUCUCUCCCGCCACCAAAUCCACGACCUCGAGGUAGACCCCCUGAAUGAUCAAAAUCAGAACUGUACCGGUGAUCUGCAUCCCUAUGACGUGCAGGCGAACCAGAACCUGCAUGUAUUCUAUAUCCAGGAUCAUCAGCGUAUCGAUCAGGACGAGAAUAGGGGGGAUGCUCACGGCGGACCUCGCCGGGCUCGUAGUCGCUGCCACCAGCGCGGCCUCCCCCGCCACCAUCUCCGCCAUCGCUGACAGAAGGGCGUACGACGAGGCUGCUAAGGAG
rnacentral:misc_RNA from 1 species